rnacentral:rRNA from 1 species
GACGGAAGGUGCAAGCGUUGCUCGGAAUCACUGGGCGUAAAGGGUGCGUAGGUGGCGGGGCAAGUCAGGUGUGAAAUCUCGGGGCUCAACCCCGAAACUGCACUUGAUACUGCCUUGCUUGAGUACUGGAGAGGAGAUUGGAAUUUACGGUGUAGCAGUGAAAUGCGUAGAUAUCGUAAGGAAGACCAGUGGCGAAGGCGGGUCUCUGGACAGUUCCUGACGCUGAGGCACGAAGGCCAGGGGAGCAAACGGG